rnacentral:rRNA from 1 species
ACGGGAGGCAGCAGUGGGGAAUAUUAGGCAAUGGGGGCAACCCUGACCUAGCAACGCCGCGUGAAGGAAGAAGGCCUUCGGGUUGUAAACUUCUUUUAUAGGGGACGAAACGAAUGACGGUACCCUAUGAAUAAGCCACGGCUAACUACGUGCCAGCAGCCGCGGUAAUACGUAGGUGGCAAGCGUUGUCCGGAUUUACUGCGUGUAAAGGGCGCGUAGGCGGGAAGGCAAGUCAGAUGUGAAAUCCAUGAGCUCAACUCAUGAACUGCAUUUGAAACUGUCUUUCUUGAGUGUCGGAGAGGUAGAUGGAAUUCCUAGUGUAGCGGUGAAAUGCGUAGAUAUUAGGAAGAACACCAGUGGCGAAGGCGAUCUACUGGACGAUAACUGACGCUGAGGCGCGAAAGCGUGGGGAGCAAACAGGAUUAGAUACCCUGGUA